GAACGGUAGCACAGAGGAGCUUGCUCCUUGGGUGACGAGUGGCGGACGGGUGAGUAAUGUCUGGGAAACUGCCCGAUGGAGGGGGAUAACUACUGGAAACGGUAGCUAAUACCGCAUAACGUCUUCGGACCAAAGUGGGGGACCUUCGGGCCUCACACCAUCGGAUGUGCCCAGAUGGGAUUAGCUAGUAGGUGGGGUAAUGGCUCACCUAGGCGACGAUCCCUAGCUGGUCUGAGAGGAUGACCAGCCACACUGGAACUGAGACACGGUCCAGACUCCUACGGGAGGCAGCAGUGGGGAAUAUUGCACAAUGGGCGCAAGCCUGAUGCAGCCAUGCCGCGUGUAUGAAGAAGGCCUUCGGGUUGUAAAGUACUUUCAGCGGGGAGGAAGGCGGUGGAGUUAAUAGCUUCACCGAUUGACGUUACCCGCAGAAGAAGCACCGGCUAACUCCGUG
rnacentral:rRNA from 1 species